UAAGUCAGUUCUGGACCCUACAUGC
rnacentral:piRNA from 1 species